ACACACAAGCUUGCAGCCUGCAAGACAGCUUUGCAGAGGGAAAUCUACUGCCAAGUUUUCAGCUUUUCCAGGAGCUAGGCGGCUUUCUUCAGGAAAACUCUUUGAGCCCUCUCAGGAUGAAGUCCAACAGGGAUUGGAUCUGCAUCAAGUAGCAUCCAAACACAAGGACUUAGAGGGUGUGAACAAAGAAGGUCUGUUGGAAGAGAGGAAUUGAAAUUGACAAGAUGAACACGGAUGCUGGGAUGAGUCUGCCAGCAGCAGAUAUGUCAGUGCCCUAAAGAGGUACUGAUCAGUGCCCUAAAGAGGUAAUGGGAGCGAUAUAAGGAGACAAACAAACUGUAUGGGUGCCCCGAAGGUGCGUGCAACCACGGAAUGGGAAACUGGAGGAACACUUGGUUGCAAAACAUGGGCCCGGUCCCUCUGGUAUGAGCCAUGAGCCAGCUGAGCCUGAGUGCAAAGAUGGAGAGAUGGCUGACCAGAGUCACAAUGACAUCAACCCCCAUAACUGGGGGCAACUCAAGAAAACCACACAGGAAGCUAGAAAACUAUGGGAGCAUCAAGGCCAGACAAA
ensembl:lncRNA novel transcript